UUAAAUGAGGCCAUUUACCCAUAGAGGGUGCCAGGCCCGUAUAACAUUAAUGAUUAUUAGAAGAUAUUUCCGAAGAGUCGUGUUGCUUGAUAGUGCAGCACUAAGUGGGUGGUAAACUCCAUCUAAAACUAAAUAUAACCAUGAGACCGAUAGUAAACAAGUACCGUGAGGGAAAGUUGAAAAGAACUCUGAAUAGAGAGUUAAAUAGUACGUGAAACUGCUUAGAGGUUAAACCCGAUGAACCUGAAUAUCCAAUAUAGAGAAUUCAACAUUUAAUUAAUAAUUAUUAUUAUUAAUGUGGUGUGCAUUUUUUCUAUAUAAAUGGACAUUGUAAUCUAUUAAUAUUAUAAUUUAUCAUAAGAUUAAUUGUUAUAUGUUUAUUUUGAUUAAUAUGUUGAUUUCUCAAUAUAUUAACUAUCAAAAUAAUUUAUAUUAAUUUGAUAAAGUGUUAAUAGAUUAAUUCAUAUGUAUAAUGCAUAUAAUAUAUCAAUGAUGUAUUUUAAUAUAUAUAUAUAUAUUAAGCAUUUAUACGAUUUACAAUGCGAAAGAUUCAGGAUACCUUCGGGACCCGUCUUGAAACACGGACCAAGGAGUCUAACAUAUGUGCAAGUUUCUGGGAUUUUUUAUAAAACCCAGAAGCAUAAUUAACAUAACUAUAAAUUUUUUUAUGGGAUUAAUUUAUAUAAAUUUUUUAUAUAUAUUCAAUCCCAGGGCGUUCUAUACAGUUAUGUAUUUAAUGACAUUUAUGUUAUUAAUACCUCUAACUAGAGCGUACCUUGAGCAUAUAUGCUGUGACCCGAAAGAUGGUGAACUAUACUUGAUCAGGUUGAAGUCAGGGGAAACCCUGAUGGAAGACCGAAACAGUUCUGACGUGCAAAUCGAUUGUCAGAAUUGAGUAUAGGGGCGAAAGACCAAUCGAACCAUCUAGUAGCUGGUUCCCUCCGA
rnacentral:rRNA from 1 species